rnacentral:lncRNA from 1 species
UUCAGGAACUGAAACAGGAAGUUGGGGGACUCCAUGAGUUUGAAGAGGUACCAUAACACAUUCCCUACAGUAAUUAGGGCUUCCCUUAACAAAGCCAAGGCUGGCACCUGGGUAGAUGUUCUUUGUUGAUUACGAAGUCUUAAUGUGGACUAGCUUCAGAAGCUUCUCAGAGCCAAACCGUCAUCUCUUUGCCUUUCUGCUACGAAGACCACACUCCCAUCCAGGCCACCCACCAGGUUCCAUUUGGUGGAACCCCCACCAAGGACACCUUUAGCUGUUGAUUGCUUUAUAGAAUAACCGGGCUGGAUGACAGCCCUGAGCAGUUUGCCAGUGUGGUCUAGUUUUCUAGGUUUCCCUGGUGAGUCAACAGGAAUGUAUCUACUUGUCUCUGGGAAUUGCAGUUCUACAUCAUCACCUAAAGUCUUCCAGAUUUUCCUGAAGAGAGGCAAAUGUGUAAAACACAACUGAAAGCUGACUGUUGAAUUAACAUCGUGGUGAACAAGAUCUUGGAUGUGAGUCAUGGAAAUGAACCUGAACUGAGAGUUGCUUUCCAAAGACUAUCUCACCACUGGGAUUCAGGCUGAACAAAGGAGUUAGAUUCAAGUCCUUUC